UACGGGGGGGGCAAGCGUUGUUCGGAAUUACUGGGCGUAAAGGGCUCGUAGGUGGCCAACUAAGUCAGACGUGAAAUCCCUCGGCUUAACCGGGGAACUGCGUCUGAUACUGGAUGGCUUGAGUUCGGGAGAGGGAUGCGGAAUUCCAGGUGUAGCGGUGAAAUGCGUAGAUAUCGGAAAGAACACCAACGGCGAAAGCACUCUGCUGGGCCGACACUGACACUGAGAGACGAAAGCUAGGGGAGCGAAUGGG
rnacentral:rRNA from 1 species